CGUAGGGUGCGAGCGUUAAUCGGAAUUACUGGGCGUAAAGCGUGCGCAGGCGGUUUUGUAAGCCAGAUGUGAAAUCCCCGGGCUUAACCUGGGAAUGGCAUUUGGGACUGCAAGGCUGGAGUGUGGCAGAGGAGACUGGAAUUCCUGGUGUAGCAGUGAAAUGCGUAGAUAUCAGGAGGAAUACCGAUGGCGAAGGCAGGUCUCUGGGCUGACACUGACGCUCAUGCACGAAAGCGUGGGGAGCAAACAGGAUUAGAUACCCUGGUAGUCCACGCCCUAAACGAUGUCGACUGGUUGUUGGGGGUUUGACACUCUCAGUAACGAAGCUAACGCGUGAAGUCGACCGCCUGGGGAGUACGGCCGCAAGGUUA
rnacentral:rRNA from 1 species